CUUGGAUGACAGCUGAGCUAACAAAAAACAUAAGAAUGAACUGUAGAAGAUCCUUCAACAAAAUCAAACGCUUUAAUAACGAUAAGCGCUGGUAUGAUUUCAUCAACCGCAACUUACUUGCCUGCUUGAGUCUUGAACUGCUUACAGCCGAAAACCUAAAGGCAGUGUGAUAUGGAAGAGACAAGGACUCCCAGUAAACCUGUAAUAAUCUGAAAUCUGAUACUUUGCUAGAAAGACGAAAGUUCAUCAAUUCAACCCACCAUCUUUGUCUUUAAGAGGUAGCUCUGUUAAAUAUCUCGAUGUAAUUCUUGGUUGAAAAAAAUUUUGCUAAUGACCGUGAAAAGCUUCAGAUCUGGCAUACCUGUAGAAGAGAUCUUGUACCAAAACGUGGCCUAAGACCUUACAAGAAGCAUUGGCUUGACACAAGUGUCACUAAAGGAGUACCGCAUAAAAUCCUUUGAAGCGGUACAAUGUACCUGUCUACUUGACAUAUCAGGGGCAAGAGGCGUUCAAAGCAAUAGGCGGGGCGGUAUUACAAAUAUUAAGUGAAAAAAGGGCAACUAAAAUAAGGCGGAGUGCAAUGUAACAGGUGGUGGAAGGUAUAGCCAAUAGCACUUUGCUCACUUGAAGAUGAUGUGUCCGGAAAUAAGGAAUGCGUCCAGCUACGUCCACUAGAUUUGCUUGUGAUGAAGAAGAGCAAGGACAACACAACCGCUUGAGCCUGAAUAACUGAUGCAGAAACGUUACGUGGCGUGACAAGAUGUGAUUUCGACGUCAACAACGCCAACCAAAAUAGGGGUGAGCUUGAGGAAUAGGUACAUUGUUGAGCUAUAACAUAGGAUAUUUCUUCGCUUUUAUUUAGAAAUUAUUAUUAAUUUGUCCAUAUUUUGGUUAACUUUAAUAUGAGAUUUUGUCAAUUAAAUAAAGAUGUUGUCAUGGAUGCAAUGGGACAUUUAUGCGGCUCAAAAAGCAUCA